AUUCAUGUUAAUAAUUUCAUCAUUAUAUUUUCUUAAUCCUGGGGGUUCACUUUGCUUGCCGUGAUUUUUUUCACAGUAGCGACUGCUGAGAGUUCAAAUAAUAAAACAAAUGAUCCAACCAGAAACCAUAAUUCUUUAAUAAAAAAUAUGGGAUAUGGAUUGUACAUGCUGCAAAAUAUGAACACGAGCGUCGAUCCUUGUGACAAUUUUUACGAAUUCGCUUGUGGUAAUUUUGAUGAU